AAUCACGUCAUAUCCGCCUUAGGAACAUUCUAGAACACAAAGGAAGCCUGAUUGUACGCGUUACUUGCUGCACGAACCCGUCAGAAAGCGUGCUUCUCGACCGAAAUGGCAGAUAAAUCUCCAGGUUAAAAAUAGCGGGCGACCUUAUUGAGGGAUUCUCAAGAAAUUACAAGUUGUAUCAACAUUGCACGGAUGACCGGGAGUGUGUGCUGCACUGCAACAGCUGCUACAAGUGUUGCUACAAGUGAUGUUUCUUCACUGUAGUAUUUUGUUUUGGUUUGUAUAGUAUUUGGAUUUGUAAUGUAGGUACAUUAUCAUGAAAUGACACAUUGAUUAAUAUACUUACCUUGCUUGGUAGUUGAUACCAUCUUCAGCGAAUGAGAAGACUAGUACUGGCUGAGGAAUCCCGGUCUCCAAUCUAGCUUAAAUAUGAUGUACUUCAUGUUCGAUUCUCACACUGCUAUGAGAAAGUCUACAUUUGAAGUUGUUUAUAGUGUUUUAUUUGUCUUCUGUGAUAGGGAAUUAUGCAUCAAUAAAAUGUUCUUUGGGACAAGAGUACAAAGGCUUUGGUAAACAGGACAUACUGACAUAAUUAUUUUUCUUAUUAGAUAUAUAUGAUGUGGAAGAAUAAAGCAGCAAAGCACAAAUAUAAUGUGGUAGUAUAAACAACUAUGUCUAGUCUAGUGUUACCACAGUGUACAGAAAAGCAGAAUUGGAGAGUCACUAAUUCAAAAGGACGAAUACUUUAUUAGACUAACUCAGAGACAGAGUGGUUGUAUACUGUAUCAUGUACAAUGUAGUCAACAUGUUAAAAUGUAUGUUAAACUGUGUAUUAGUUUGGUAGGUUAAAUCAAUCUUUGUACUGUGACAUGUAAGAUUUCUUUGCUUGGCAUGUCUGAAGAAAAAAUGCGGCUGCCUACUCUCAAACUUUUCGGAUGGUAAAAUCAUGUAUAAAAUAAAACAUUCUGUUUUAAUUUGUCUUUAGUAAUGUAUACAUGUACGCCUCAACAUUUGUGAAUGAAUAAAUGAAUGAAUUUUA